UCUCCAUAUUCCAUCUCUCUGGUAGGUGAAUGAGUCACUAGCAACAAAUAAGUAUGGAUCUGAGACACCAGGGAGCAUUCUCAAGAACUGGUGUAGCAUAAGAGUUUCCUGCAAUCAACAACAAGACAGCUAAUCACUCUGCAAUUAAGGCUCUGUCAAUUCUCCUUUUUAUAAGCUACAGUAGAUGGGCAAGGCAACUUCUUGACUCUAAAGAAGUCACAUGCCACAGUGAUUUAGAGAUGAAAAAGAAAAGAGAUUACUGCAGUUUGGCCCUUCACUUCUGAUUUACUGUGUGUGCAUCUUCCGUGUGGCCUGCGGGGGCCCUGUUAUUUUGGUACACAUCCCAAGUGUCA
rnacentral:lncRNA from 1 species